UCAACCGCCGAAAACAGCCUUAGUUUAUCCUAAAAAUCUGCAAAUGAGCGGGUAGGUGAGAAACAAAAGUUCAAACCAAUCGGUUAGCUCGCUCUCUCUCAUCAAUUUCUCCUUCUAUGUCCACAGGCCGAAACUCACAAACGUUUUUACUGAACCAAUUCUUGUAAAACGUUUUUGUAUAAGCCAUACUCAAGGAGGAAUCAGCUGAUUAUGGCUUAUACAAAAACCUUUACAAGAAUUGGUUCAUAAGGAUAUUUUUCUAUACCAGUCUAUACCAGAAAGGGUUUUGAUCGUUCUGCUCGUCCUUCCUUCGAUUUAUCCCCUGUCCAAGAAAGAAACAUAUCGUUGCAGCUUUGGAGAUGCAUCAACCAAAAAUGGAGCUGUAAAUUUUAAUUUAAUUUGCUUUGGGAUGUAAUAUUAAACUUAGUGUUGCCUUGAUUGUUUUGUUUAUUUUUUAACAAAAAAAUGCUUGCUGGAUUCAA